AUUGAACGCUGGCGGCAUGCCUUACACAUGCAAGUCGAACGGCAGCACGGGAGCAAUCCUGGUGGCGAGUGGCGAACGGGUGAGUAAUAUAUCGGAACGUGCCCAGUCGUGGGGGAUAACGCAGCGAAAGCUGUGCUAAUACCGCAUACGAUCUAUGGAUGAAAGCGAGGGACCGCAAGGCCUCGCGCGAUUGGAGCGGCCGAUAUCAGAUUAGCUAGUUGGUGGGGUAAAGGCCCACCAAGGCGACGAUCUGUAGCUGGUCUGAGAGGACGACCAGCCACACUGGAACUGAGACACGGUCCAGACUCCUACGGGAGGCAGCAGUGGGGAAUUUUGGACAAUGGGCGCAAGCCUGAUCCAGCAAUGCCGCGUGCAGGAUGAAGGCCUUCGGGUUGUAAACUGCUUUUGUACGGAACGAAACGGUGAGCUUUAAUACAGUUUGCUAAUGACGGUACCGUAAGAAUAAGCACCGGCUAACUACGUGCCAGCCGCCGCCGUAA
rnacentral:rRNA from 1 species